GGGGGUGUAUCUCAGUGGUAGAGUGCAUGCUUAGCAUGCAUGAGGCAGGCCCUGGGUCCAAUCCCCAGCACCUCCA